AGAGUUUGAUCCUGGCUCAGGACGAACGCUGGCGGCGUGCUUAACACAUGCAAGUCGAACGGAAAGGCCCUGCUUUUGUGGGGUGCUCGAGUGGCGAACGGGUGAGUAACACGUGAGUAACCUGCCCUUGACUUUGGGAUAACUUCAGGAAACUGGGGCUAAUACCGGAUAGGAGCUCCUGCUGCAUGGUGGGGGUUGGAAAGUUUCGGCGGUUGGGGAUGGACUCGCGGCUUAUCAGCUUGUUGGUGGGGUAGUGGCUUACCAAGGCUUUGACGGGUAGCCGGCCUGAGAGGGUGACCGGCCACAUUGGGACUGAGAUACGGCCCAGACUCCUACGGGAGGCAGCAGUGGGGAAUAUUGCACAAUGGGCGGAAGCCUGAUGCAGCAACGCCGCGUGCGGGAUGACGGCCUUCGGGUUGUAAACCGCUUUCGCCUGUGACGAAGCGUGAGUGACGGUAAUGGGUAAAGAAGCACCGGCUAACUACGUGCCAGCAGCCGCGGUGAUACGUAGGGUGCGAGCGUUGUCCAGAUUUAUUGGGCGCAAAGGGCUCGUAGGUGGUUGAUCGCGUCGGAAGUGUAAUCUUGGGGCUUAACCCUGAGCGUGCUUUCGAUACGGGUUGACUUGAGGAAGGUAGGGGAGAAUGGAAUUCCUGGUGGAGCGGUGGAAUGCGCAGAUAUCANGAGGAACACCAGUGGCGAANGCGGUUCUCUGGGCCUUUCCUGACGCUGAGGAGCGAAAGCGUGGGGAGCGAACAGGCUUAGAUACCCUGGNAGUCCACGCUGUAAACGGUGGGUACUAGGUGUGGGGUCCAUUCCNACGGNUNCNNNGCCGUANCUAACGCUUUAAGUACCCCCGCCUGGGGNNUAC
rnacentral:rRNA from 1 species